UAGCCCUAAAUCUUGAUGACCCCAAACACAAACAUCCGCCUGAGAACUACGAGCACAAACGCUUAAAACUCUAAGGACUUGGCGGUGCUCUAAACCCACCUAGAGGAGCCUGUUCUAUAAUCGAUAACCCACGAUCCACCCGACCACCUCUUGCCAAAACAGCCUAUAUACCGCCGUCGCCAGCCCACCUCGUGAGAGCACAACAGUGAGCCCAACAGCCCACAGCCCACUAACAAGACAGGUCGAGGUAUAGCCUAUGAGAUGGAAGAAAUGGGCUACAUUUUCUAAAAUAGAAAACCCAACGAAAAGGGGCUUGAAACCUGCCCCCAGAAGGCGGAUUUAGCAGUAAAGUAGGA
rnacentral:rRNA from 1 species